GCAUUAAAGUUCCGAAAAAAUAUUUGGGUUGUAACUUAGACCUAUUAAACUUGGCAGCCAAACCCUACCUAGAUCUGUAGAGGUUUGAGUUGAGACCCAAACCGGAAUCCCAAACUUUUAGAUAAGUAAUGGGUCGGGUCAGUAGAUGAUCCAACCUUAUUAGGCAUGAUUUGAUUUAUUGGUUUAGAAUCAUUGAUUGGGUUUGAAAAAUGAUCUAUUUGGUUGUUGGUUUAUGUCAUUGUUUCUUACAUGAUCUAGGAUCAAUUUGACAUGAUCUUAUAUAAUGAAAUAUUGGAUGAUCUAUCAUUGCUUGAUUUGAUCUAACCCAAAACUCGAUACUUACAAACCUAUCAUUCAUAGGUUUGUAAGUUAGGGGCUAUAGCUAGCACUUUGUAAGUUGAAGUCAUAGUGAAGAUUUAAACCAAAUCCUAGUCAAUGACAAUAGUAUUAACAAUAAUGAUAUUAGUGUAAACAAUCUGCACUAAAACUCUCUUUUAGCAUUUUCCAUAUAUUAAUUUUUGUAACUUUUGGUUGCCCUAAGAAAGAUAGAAUGAAUUAUAUGGAUAUUUUAAUGAAUUUAAAUAUAAUAAAUAAUGUAUAAUUCUUGAAUAUUACAUCAUACUCGAACUUGAUAUGGUUUGGAUGACUCAAAAGUCAAAAAAAAUUCUAUAGGCAGCUGCACAUGAGCGGCAAAUGACAAGGUUCUAUAUCUAAAACUAUGAUCAGAUAAAAAUUUGAUUAACUCAUGAUCAUGAUUACCUUGUUCCAAAUCAAGCUUAGUUACAUGACUAUUUUAUAUUAAUCAUGUCAAAGCCAAGAAGUCCAAGCAGAAAUUUGGUCUUAGAUAUGGGUCGGAUUGGAUGUUGCUUUGUGGAUGGGGUCAAAUCUUUGUGUUUUUUAGCCGUCCUUUUCAUUAAACAAGUAAACCAACCUACAUAACUUGUUUAAUAUAUGGGUCGAAGUAGGUUAAAUGGGUUAAGCGGGUUUAAACGAGUUAAAUGAGUUUUAAACAGAAUAAGUGGAACUCAAGUGAGUUAAACAUGUCUUAAAGAGAUCAGUCACGUGAUUUGAUCCAACUAUUAAAUGGAUUAAAAUAAGCUAAAUGGAUUAGAACUUCAAAUCACUUAUCAUUUGUACAUUAACUAAUGAUUCUUGAUCAUCAAGACUGAUCAAAUAAAGUGAGGUUCCCUUCCAUUUCGGAGUUAGAUUGGAGAGGGUCGGUUAGCCAGUCAUGGCCAUUCACGGAAUUGGAACAAAGUCAAAGAAAUCAGCUCCAUUAUGCACGGACAGGAUAUUGUUUGUUCUGGUGAUCCUAUGUUCCGAGCGGGAAAGCAUGAUCGAACGGCCCACAUCAAUUCUCCCUCCAUACAGCCUCAAUACCCUCCGUACUAUAAAUUUUACCCCCAUUCCCUCGUCUCCCCUUGUCUUCCCAUUUCUGCAUCACGUCAUGGCAUCCGAUACCCAACAAUACCCAGGAGACGAAGAGCCAAGAAAUCGAAAAACGAACCCCUUUCCCCCACUCCAAUCUCCUUCCGCGGUACAAACCCUAGCUCCCAUCUCCUUCAAUCUCCUCUUCUGACACCGUUUCUUGAUCUCUCUUCUCCAUUCACUUCCAGCUCUGGACUGGCCCAAAGAGCUCCUCGAAGCUUCUUCCCAUGGAGAUCUCCCCGUUCUCAAGCGUACUCUCCGACCUUUCUAGGGUUUCUUCUUUUGGUCAGGAUUCGAUCUUUUGAUCUCUUUUUUUGUUGUCACCCUCUCCCUAUUCUGAUGCAGAGGCGGUAGGAAUGCUCGAUGAUGGAAGGGAUUCAGUCGCAACCAUCAGAGAUGUGGAGAACGAGCUUGGCUGCGGAGCUUUCCAUUUAGCUGCCAUCGAUGGGCAAAAGGAAGUGUGCAAGUAUUUGGUUGAGGAGAUCAAACUCGACAUUAACUCUCUGUCCGACAAAGAUGAAACUCCAAUUUACCUACAACUUUGCAUGGAAAGCACGAGACCGCCACCUAUCUUUUUCAUCAUGGCGCCAAUCUUGCUAUACAGAAUAAAUCGGGGAUAACUCCUCUGCACCAUGCCGUGGAAAAAGGUUUUUGAAUUUUUCUUCAUGGUCUUGGUGAAAUACUCGUUAUGGAAAUUAAAAGGGGUAUUUAACUUUGCAGAUUUUAUUUUCAUAUGCAUCAUAGGCUUUCUUUUUUCUAUAUGCUUACUUAAGUUGAUAGAUUCUUAGAUAUAAUUCCUUUUGUCGUGUACUUGUGAUUUUUUUUUUCCAUCCAUAGUUUGGUGGACGUUAGCUAUAGCAAUCACUUAAAAUAGUUGUUCGUUGGAAAUUUCCAUCCAUCUCUUGAACUUAUUUUUCUGCUAUAAUCUUGAUCACAUUCAUCACUUAAAUUAUCAGUGGUCUUACAAUGCAUAAUACUAGUGGCAAUGAUUCUAAUUGUGCAGUUAUAUAAUUAUUGAUGAACUGUUCAACAAGAAGCUUUAUGUUGGGUAUUUAGCCCCAGCUUUGUUUUGGCCUGUUGUACUUGUAGUGUUGUCUCAGAAGCAGUAAUAUUGCAUCUUGAUUCUCUUUAAUUGUGGUCUUCAUGUUGACAUGAUAUUUUCUCCUCUUUUCCUUUUAAUGAUCGUUCAAGUUGCCUAAACUGCAAUUAUGUCUAUUUUCGUUAUAGGCUUCACAUCUAGGUUUCCAGGAAGUUUAUUUAGAAAGAAUGAUUAGUGGAGUAAAAGAUAUUGGUCCUUUGAAUUUAUUUAAUUUUGCAGAUUUAAAGCUGACACUUGCUUUAAAAUCUUGUUCUAAAUAAAAUGUCUGGUGAAGAGUACAGACAAGUGGUUUGAUACAGACGCCAGAACCUGUGGCAGAUAUUGCUUCUUUGUGCAGGAGAUGGACAACUACCUCUUGAAGGUACAAGGAAGUCAAACCUGAAUCACAUGCACUUAAUCUUGGUUCUCAUAGAUGCAGCAGAUCUUUUGGAUUGAUAUAGGAUGAAAAUUAUGUAAAUAAUGGAUGGGGGACGAAGAGAUGAAAGAGCAAGGAGAUCGGGAAUAUAAAAGGAUAGGAAAAAGAGGAACACCAACACAAUCAAGAAGAAAGACAAAUACAUGUGGGCCUGGAACACUCUUGUGGAAUGAAUCCUCUGCAUGUGGCUGCUGGUUGUGGACAAGAAUCUAGUACAAAAAUUUUGUUGAAUCACAAAGCAGAUGUAAUGUUUUAUGUUUCAUUAUCAUCAAUAUGUCUUUGAUGUUCGUUUCCAUGGUCAAAAUUCUUUUGCUUAUUAUGUGGACUUUAUCACUACCUCUAGUUUGAAUCAUCUAAAUUUAUAUGCUUAUAAGCAGCAUAUUUCUCAUAUGACUCAGGGAGACAUCAGUGUCUGUAGAUGUAUGGAAUGAAUGGGGGAUACAUCAUUUUUUUUUAACUGAGGAUCUUAAGACUUCAAUCAAUGCUCAUGAUAGAACAAGCGUGUAAUUGGAUUGAUCUAUAUUGUGUAUUGUAUCAUGAAUAUGUGUUUGUAUGUCCACAUAUAUAUGACUGUAUAAAUAGAUAAAAAAUGGAGAACUCAAGCAAACUAGAUGAAAUAACUUGCCAAAAUUUUCCUACUCUGCCACCAGUUUUCACAAAUUGUUUGUCACCACAUCUUACUUCUCCAUCAUUGUCUCUUUCCUUGAAAAUGCAAUUUAAUGCUUUAAACCUUCAUCCUUCUCCAUGCUGGGAAAUAGUCUUCUUCACAACUGAGGUAGCUUUCAAUUUUCACACGUACUCCAAGUCCUAAAGUAGGGUUAAAGCUAUAGUCUGAGAAGGUCAAUUAAGCGCAUUGAAAUUGAGGUGGAUGAAGGCAAAUGAAUUGUAGUUUAGAGUUGGCAACAGAAGGAAGUUGGCUUUCCAAAAUAGCAUUUUUGGUGCUAGUAUUCUUUUUGGGGUCAGUGUUCUCCUGUAAUUGAUGGCAGUGUUGUUGUCUUGAGAUUGAAUAUGAAAAUCAAGUUGUAUCCAAGUGCUUACAAGUUAUAAUAUUUGGAACCUAGAGAUGAAACAUGAAGGUCUGUGGCAAAUUUAUAGUUUGUGGGUCAUUUGCAGAAAAGUGUGGUCCUUCAUAGCAGGUCAACAUGGAUGAACGCAUACAACAUCUGAGGUUGGGGGCAAGUUUCAUACUUUUUUGUCUGUUAAAGCUCAAGAGAACAGGAAGGUUGACAUACAAGAUGAUUGAACAUAUUUGGAACAAUUUUUGGGUCUGAUUCAGCAAACAACUAUGUUGGCUAUGACUUUAACAUGGAUUUCUUAAUUUGGCCCAAUGGAAUUAACUUAAAUUCAUGUUUUGAUUGGAUAUAUCUCCUACCCUUUUAUGGAAUCCAAUACAAGUUUAGUGGGAUAGGUUUAUUCAUUCAAUCGGUGGCAGAUGAUUUUAAUAAUUCAACUCAAGGUUUUUGAUUUCUUUUCUUUUUUUCCCUCUUUUCUUUCUUCUUUUCAGCUCAACAUAAUGAGAAUGACAAAUUCAUGAAGGUACAACUGAUAUUCUUGUAUUUUUUUAAAUUAAAUGAAGUAUCAGACCUUUCACUAAAAUUCUUAGAUGAGCCAUCACAAGCCUCCUCAAUUUAUUCUUCUUCAUUUACCUAAUUCAUUAUUCUACUCUUUUUAUAGAUCUUUGCAGUGAUGAUAUCAAACUUGCCUAAACAGAAAGAAGUUCUGGUAAGCUUUUUGGAUCAGAUAUGGUAUUUUUUUGUCCUAUGAGAUAAUUUCUCUUUGGGACUUACUUCUGUUACCCUCUUGCCUGUUUUUGUUAUUACAUAUGUAAUUAGUUAUUACAUAUGUAAUUAGUUAUAUGGAAGGACACGAUAUAUGCAGCAUGGUGUAGUUCUUGUACCUUACACAUUAUUCUACAACACAAGAUCUUUGUUAUAUUUUAGUUUUGUUGGAGGUAUUAGUCAAUUUUUUUUUUUACUUCAACUUGCUUCUAUAUUUCCAUCCCAAGAAGUUUUUGUCCAAUGGCUUUACACCAUUGACGAUGUCUGUUCUUGCUGGCUCACUGCAAUGCAUGGAGGAGCUGAUCGAGUUAAACAAGUUGGUUGGCCAUAUGUGCUUUAAUAUCUCAUAGUGAGCACAUUUCUGGUUUUUGACUGAGGUAUAAUUAAAAAAUCAUCUACCAUUGAUCGGGAUCAUUGUUUGUUUCUAUGAAAUUUCUUGCUGACGCUGGAUUGCAGGCUUCAUGGAUUUUGACAGAUGAUAUAUCCAGCAAAUUUUGUUUAGACAAAUCUGGAUGACAUUCAGUAAUCACUCACCAGUUCCAGAAUUUGCAAAUUAAUUCCUUUUGCUACGUCUACUUUUGCGUGUACUAUCUCAUCUUCAUUUCUUCUGAUUGAUAUUUAAGGCCUAGAAAGAAAAUGUCCACCAUGUAGCAGAAUGGAAGUUCUUUGCUGAUCCAUUGUGCUUUGAUAUUACCUAUCUAAACAGCAUGAAGAUGAUUAUUUGAAAGUAAGCCUGGAUCUUUCAUCAUCUAAAUGACCAUAAUGUUCACUUAAUUAGGAGUGACCACAAAGAACUUCAGGAAAUGAAGGAAUUCAUAAGAUGAUCUGCUAUUCUUAAGAUUUUCAUUGAAAAAAAAUUGGAGAAUUUUACACCUUUGGCCUGGCAGCAGCCUGCUUUCUAAUCAGGUGUCUCAGAGAAGCCCUAUAAAAGAAUCGUCAAUGAAAUAUCUUUGCUCAUGAAAUUUCUCAAACAAAUUAUAAAAUGUAGAUGGACUACAAAAAAACAAAAUUUAUCAGAGAGAGCAAAGAGACCUCAAACUUCUGAGAUGCGAAGAAUUCUUCUAAACAAUAUAUUAUGUAUUUCUGUUCAUGUAUGCGGGCGCUGAUGUGAAUGGUAAUAUUUCCAUUGGAGUAACUCCCUUAGGAUUGGCAGCUCAUGGUGGCUUGACUGAGAUUAUUAAAUGCUUACUGAAAGCUGGGGCUGAUGCAAAUAUACUUAAUAAAGUAAGUGCUCAUAUCUUUGCCUUGUUUAUUUUUUUGGCUGUAUUUGGCUCUCUAAAAUUCUCAUAUCAGUUUAGCAGAAGCCACAGAAAGCAUACGUGAUGAUGAACUUCAUAUUGACAGCAACGUUAAUACUAGUAUGCCACACUGCUAUUGCGUAGCUUUGAUGUUAUGCUUUCUCUUUGAUUGAUCCUCAAAAUGUCCAUUCUAUGAACUUUACAGUGCACGUGGGAACUCUCUUUAUAUUGUCAUCUCACGAACUCAGAGGGUUUACACAACUAAUAGAUGUCAUGUACAACAUACCAUGAGGUCAAGGUACACAGAACCGACCAAACCGAUGUACCGGUACUGGUGCAGUACCAGUUCUGGCCAACCGAGAAAAAGAAAUAUUCCGCGACAUGCGUGCGUGGAUUUGUUUUACACAGAGCGUUU